CCUCUCUCUCCCCCGUCCCUCCCCUUCCCCCCUCUCUCUCCCUCCCUCUCUCUCUCCCCCCAUCUCUCUCUCCCUCCCCCUACCCUCUCUCUCCCUCUCUCUCUCUCUCUCACUCUUUCUACUCUUGCAAGUGUCCCUUUGUAGGUGGCACUGCCCUCUGGCUGCAUCACACCAGGAGACCCAGUGUCUUCUUGUCUGGCCCAGGAAGCUGCGAGGGCAGGGGUGCUGCCCUCCCUGGACGACCUCUCCCUCUCACCCUAGGCCUUGGCUGCUCCAUUUCUGUGCUCCCUCGGAGGCCACAGCCCUAGCCACCAGGGGUAGCUGUCCAGCCCUUCCUGCUCCAGCCCGUGUCCCUGUGGCUUCAGCGGUUCAUCUCGUGGCCAGUGGAAGCUGUGCACGCUGACCUUCUGCUCUCCUGUUGCUCCUCAGCCCACUUUUGUGGUUUCAGAUCUCAAAUCUGCAGAACUGCCUUGAAAGCCCACCAGCAUCGGAGCCCGGAUGUUUCCGGGCCGGCCCAGCAGUGACGGGCAGCGCUGUCCAGUCCUGCAGCUCGCUCCUCACCAGCUCCUUCAAGCUGGGCGCUGGGCCUGUAAAGGUGUUUUCUGUAUUGAUGUCAGACCUGCUUUCUGAGAAUUUUUACCCAGUGAGCACUUACCUGGCCUUUGACCCGAGGAGUGGCACUGAUGGCAGUUUGUGCUCAGGCAUAUUCAAGCACUUAAAUGUCUUCUUUCUGUCUUUCUUUUUCUUUCUUUCUUUUUUACUUUCAAUUGCUUUGAGAUACAGAUGCGCGCGUGCCCCCCCCCCACACACACACACACGCGCGCGCGCGCACACACGUGUGUGUGUGUGUGUGUGUGUUGAACCAGUUUUGAGUUCAGUAGCACUAACUGUAUUCACAUUGUCGUGUAAUAGACCUUUAGCCAAGUGUGGUGGUGCACACCUGUAGUCAAGCUAUUCGGGGGCUGUGGCAGGAGGAUCAGUUGAGCCCAUGUACUCAGGACCAGUCUGGGCAACAAAGUUGAGGCCCUGUCUCAAAAAAAAAAGCAGAUCUCUAGAAGUUUUCAUCUUGCAAAAUUGCAACUCUAAACCUACCAAACAAUCCCCUCUCCCCCGACCCCCAGCACUGGCAACCACCAUCCUACUUCCUGUUUCAUAAUUUGACUGCUCUAAAUAUAAGCCAGCUGGGUGUGGCAGCACAUGCCUGUAGUUCCUGCACUCAGGAGGCUGAGGCAGGAGGAUCUCAAGUUCAAGGCCAGCCUCAGCCACUUAGAGAGACCCUCAGAAACUUAGAUAUUUUAGUUUUUAUCUAGUUGUUAUUUUAGAAAAAUAAAAAGGGCUGAGGAUGUAGCUCAGUGGUAAAGCAUCUGAGGAUUGGAUCCUCAGUACCAAAAUAACUAGAUAAAUAAAUAUUAGCGGAAUCAUAUGGUCCUUGGUGACAAGCCCAUUUCACUCAGCAUAAGGCUCAUUCAUGUUGUAGCCCAUGAUAAGAUUUCCUUCUGUUUCAAGGUGACAUAAUAUUCCUCUGUAUGAAUGUAACACAUUUUCUGUGCCCAUUUAUAUGUAAAUGGUAUUUGCUUCUGUGUCUUGGCUGUUGUGAAUAAUGCUGAAAUGAACCUAGGUUUGCAAGUAAUUUUUGAGAGUCUGCUUUCAAUUCUUUUGGCUGUAUACCCAAAAGUGGGAUUAGGACUCACAUGGUAACUCCAGUUUUAGAUUCCUGAAGACCUCCACAUUGUUUUCCACAGGGACCGCAUGGGUUUAUAGCUCUACCAGCCGUGCACAGAGGUUCCAGUUUCCCACAGCCUCGCCAACACUAUUACUUUCUGGUUUUUAAUCACCUAGUUUUAACAGAGUCAUUCUAAGUGGAUGUGUGGCUUUGGUUUUCAUCUCCAGAGAAGGUGACAUCGAGCAUCGUUUCGUAUACUGUGGACCCUCUGUGCAUCUUCUUUGAGUAAUUGUCUGUGUGGGUCCCUUCCUGUUCUGUUUCACUGAGGGGGACCUUUCUGUGUCCUGGGUGUGAAGCUCGCAGCAGAGACGCAUAGACUCGGGCUUCCCGCUGCCUGCGCCACCUCUUAGCUCUGUCCUUUGCUUCAUGGUGCAGGGUUUUCAGUUUGAUGUGACCCCUUUGUCCACUUCUGCUUUUGUCACGUGGGCUUUUGGUCUCAUAGUCAAGGCAUCAUUGUCACUUCAAUGCCUUGAAGAUUUUCCCAUUUUCUUUUGAGAAGCUUAGGUCUUUGAUUCAUUGUGAAUUAAUUUUUUUUAUUUGAUGUAAGGUAAGGGUCCAACUUCAUUCUUGUUUUUAUUCGUGCUUUCUAGUUAAUACAUAGAUCUAUAACGACGUGAUCCUACAGGGAGGGAAUAUAAUUUGUCCAUUCCAGUCCCUAUAUGUGGAUAUCUAGUUUUCCUGUUCCAAUUUUGAAGACUUUUUUUUUUGGUGUGGGAUCUUGCUGAAGAUCAUUUGGCCAGACACAUGAUUUCUAGACUCUAUUCUGUGUGUCUGUCUUCAUGACAGUAAGUAAUCACAUCAGCUCAGCUGGGGGUGGAACUCAGUAGUAGAACAUUUGCCUAGCUUGUGUGAUGCCCUCGUUUUGAUCCCUAGCUCCAAAAAGAAGAAGGAAAAGGAAGAGGAAGAGGAGGAGGAGGAGAAAAGAAAGGAAGGAAGAAAUGCCAGCCUGUUGACCUAGGAUGACCUAGAAGAUCAUCUUAUGGGUUUUCCAGACGCGGCUUCAUGGAGACGUGGGGUACAGGGUCUUGUAGGCUGCGUUCUCUCAAACUCGGGUUUCAAGAGACGUGAGUAUUGUGUGCUACUCGGAAGCAUUUCCAAUGUGGGUGACGAAGGUGAGCCAUUUGCCUGGUGGUCCUCAAAGCCAACCCUGUGUUCAACACGAGUGAGCUCAGCGGAGCAGCUGCUAUAACAAACAGGACUUUCUCCUUGGGUCUGUUGAAGAAGAAGGAGGACUUGGAAGGACUGUUCACCUCUAGGCUCUUGGUGGCUUUAGAGACUCCGGACCUCCAAGUGUAGAGGUCUUUCUCUCUGGACCAAAGGGGAGGCAGUAGAAGGACGAACAACCAGGAGAGAGAGAGUUGUGCCCUGGCAAGUCCCAGGGCCAUGCAGAAGGGGUCCUUCGGCAGGCGGGGGGUGGAGCUGCGACUGAGGUGAGGAGAGCCAGAGGCACCACCUGGAGCAGGACCCCGCUGCCUUCGGGAGCUGUGCUGACUUGGGGUGAAAAGAGGGAGAGAAGCUUCCCUCAUUCAUUAACCGACCGUUUCCUGCGGGUGAGGAGGAGGGAAGAAGAGCUGCCCGCAUGUCCCUGCCACCUGAGCUAGAAAAGUGCACUUGAGGGAGCUGGGACAAGGCACACCGCGCAUGACCUAGGGAGGGAUGCCUCUUCAGCAUUCGGGUCUCUGCCCAGCAAUGACCCUGAGCCAAGAUGGCCAUCCUUCCUAGAACUCCCUCCCCACUGUGCUUUCUCAACACCCACUUCCUUCUUACCAACCCCAGUUCUCCUUCUGGUUGGGGCCUUACUGUAAGAACGCCUUUGAGAGAAAGCACCAGACAAAGAGCCAACCAAGACACAGCCAGAGAGAGCGCGUGAGCCCUCAAACACAGCUGCAGAAUUAAAACACAACAGAGGAACAGAGUGUUCCAGCUGAUGAACUUCCUGUUGAUGGUCUCUGGGGAGCAGGGGAGAGCUGGAGUCCUAGAAUUGGGGUAGAAGGAGGGCAGGGGCCUGGCGGGGGUGGGACUUGAGUUUCCCAGCAUGAUCACCAGGACUGGGUCCCACCUGCAAGCGGAGACACACUUCCUGGGGCUGGUCAGAGGAGGCCUUGGGCCACUGAUGUGCCCAACCUACAGCAAAACAGGAUGUUAGCUCAGACGUGACUGAGCCAAGAGAUGCAAACUCCUCCCGGGCCCACCCCACCCCACCCCACCCCCAGCCCCUGCACCCACACACGGCUGCAGAGCCACGGCUGUCUCCAGGGUGACUGGCGUCUGCGUCCUGGCCAGCCCUGCAGUGGGGGUUAGAUUUAGUUCUGACCUAUUUCAUUAGGGUUUCAGACUUUCGGUCACUCUGACAAGGAGUCCCUUACCACAUCCCUGGGGACUGAAGGCAGUUAUCCAAUGAGGAAGUGAGAGUGGACAGUUUGCCCUACAGUCCCCAUGUGGUGGGCCCUAGGUGCCUGUGCUCAUUGGGCCGUCGGCUGCAGUGUCCGCAGGCCAGCAUCUGGGGUCUCUCUCUCUCUUGCUCAUUCUUACCUCUUCUCUUGCUCUUCACUGCCACCAAAAAGUCCCUUCCUGUGCCUUGAAGGAAACAGAAAUUACAAACCGGAAGCAAUUCUGCUCAAGUUCAAUUAUCUUCAAAAUGCAAAUAUCACUUCUUUUUAUGGGCAAAUGCCAAGCUUAAAACACCCCAGAACAGCACUCUGGGUGUGGCCACCUUUCCUGUGGAGGUGAGCGGGGGCUCUUGAAUGACCACUGCUUGAAGGCCACCUGUGCCCUGUUGGAGCAGGUGCUGUGAGCCAAGGACACCUGAAGCUGGCCCUCCCCACAAGCUCCUCUGGCUCUGGGGCUACCUGUUCAUAGGCUCCUUCUACCCAGGGCUCCGCUGUCCACUGUCCAUUGUCCACCCACCACCAAGCACACCUAGGUGGGCCUCCUCUGCCUCUUGCCCCUGGGUCUUCCUUGACCACUCUGUCCCUGUGGCCCUGGCUUUCCUCAGGACCAAGCGGCGGUCAGCUGUUGGUGGCCUAGGGACACUGGGUAGUGCAUUUAGUGUGCAUUCUGAUUCAAACAUUAGGGACUGUUGUCACUUUCUCAGAUAAAUGACACCCAUAAGGCAGGCUCCUGGGUUUGCCUCGGGGGGCCAGCAUAGCAGGGGACACCAAGAAGAGAAGACUUUUGGAAUCCCAAAACCGGGAAGCAGAAAAGGUAAAGAAGACUUAGGCCAUGUAAUAAUGAUGCCCCCCCAAACAGCAAAAGCACAGAGAAGGGGGGCAGGGGUUUGAGAGCCAGGGGGUGGGAGCAAGUGGACCAACGUAUGGGAGGCAAGGCCUGGGAAGAGACCAGAGCGCCCCCUUCCCUGGGAGGCCUGCACCAGCGCCUCACCACUGAGCCACCUCCCCAGCCCUUAGGUUUUAUUUAGAGACAGGGUCUCACAAAGUUGCUUGGGUCCUCGCUAAGUUGCUGAGGCUGGCCUUGAACUUGUGGUCCUCCUGCCUCAGCCUCCCGAGCCACUGGGAUUACAGGUGUGCGCCACUGCACUGGGCUCUGUAGACCUUUGUAGAUGUGUUAAGUCUGAGUGAUAUAAAAACCCCUUUCACCUCCCCUCCUCCUCCACCUCUUUGGCAAAAAAUGCAGAAUUGCAUCUGAACUUGGAAUAUUCAAGAACCGUCACAUAAAACAGGUGAGAAGAAUUAAGGCAAAGACAAGUCCUUCCUUUGAGUCGGGCUAUAGUCGAGUAGACCCAUUUAUAAGUAGAAAUCGGAACCACAAGCGGAGGCUUGGCAUUGAGAGGUGAACUUGGAGUCCCGCUGUGGAGGAGGCUGCGCAUGCUGCUGGAACCUGCCCCUGGCUGUGACCUUUCCUUCAUGAGAGCAUGUGGCCCUUCCUGUUGCUGUGACAACCAUGACCCCAUGUCUGUCACACAUGCUACAUGCUGACUGUUCCCCUCCCAGCAACCCUGUGUGGUGAGUCCUUCCUCCCCAUCUACAGAUGAAGAAUCUGAGGAGCAAAAAAGUAUCUCGUCCAAGGUCACAGUUGGACCCAGGCGGCCUGGUGCCAGAGCUGACCCUAAGUGGCUGUGCUACCCUCUGUGUCACCACAGUUUUAGGUGGGCGUGUAGAACUGGAUUAUAGAUUUAAUUGCCUACCUUUCACACAGGGAUGGUGCACAUUUAUUUGUUCACCCAACAUGUAUUUUUACCAGACUUGAACCCAGUGCUGAUCAUGGAACCUGAAGACAGGGUGGACUGGGCCUUUGUUGGGCUUGGAGUUUGGUGGAGGACACAGCAAACAGGUGGUUCUAAAAUCCUCACCAUGACAGGAGCAAGAGAGGCAGGAGCUGGCCAUGCCUCCCCUCAGGUGGCCAGGACCGUCUUCGCAGGAGCCUACGCUGAGAACUGAAGGGUGUGAGAGGCAGCUCUCUGCAAAACAGGGUGGACUGCAGUGGAGGAAAGAGCCCACCGGGAGGCCCACCGCUGGGGGCCGUAGUGAGAGGCUGGGGGUUCUCUGAGGGAGGCCAGGGAGAUGAGCGCUACCCUUCAGGGAACAGCGUGAGCCCCGCGGGAAGCUGGCUUCAUCCCCAAUGCGGGGCGCCACCAGGUGUUCUAGAAGGGGCGGGGAGGUAGCGCUGGAGGCAGGGAGGACAGGUAGGAGCUGCCCAGUCCAGAGGCGGGUGGUGGAAGGAGGCGGAGGGCAGCACCCAGCAGAAUCACAGCACCCCACUGGGAGACAUGAAGAGGGACCAGGAGACUCCCCUUUCACCAUGAGCAGAGAGACGCGUAGCUGGACCAGCCAAGAGGGAAAAAGAGCAGGAGACGACAGAGGUGUGCAGCUGAUUUACCAGAGUCGCACCCUGGAACUCAGGUCCAGGGACUUUUCUCUGCCUGCUGCUGUCCCUGAGAAGACAGGGAUGCACUGCAGGCGGGACUCAGCACCCCUCCUAGAAUCCAUUCCACCUUAUCAGUGUAGAGUCACUGGGGAGACUCCAGUGGUGGCCACGUGGGGACGGCCACUGGGCCACUGCGGCUCCUCGCCUUACUAACAAGAACCUCACACCGUGCUUCGGCCUGGCUUCCUGCAAACGGACCUUUGUUUCUGUACAUGUCACCCCACCUACACUCCAGAAAAAUCAGUUCUUUUUCUUUGUAUGAGAAUAAGGCAGAAAAUGGUGGUCCAUGUCACCUGCUGCUCUAAAUUUAGACAGGAGCUGAGACAUACAGAUUGUGAUGAUGUCUUCAAUUUUUCAAAUUAUUUGUUUCCUUCUCAAAGGACAUUAGUUUCCAACCCCCUCCUCUGCCACACACUCUCCCUUCACUCCGCUUAUCUCUCUGUGUUUCUCUUUCUGGCCUUUCUGGAAAAUUUCUUUCUCCCCAUCUCUGCUGCUUAGUUUUUGGAGGGACUGUCUCUCUCUGUGCUUGUGUGUCUGAUUUUGUCUGAUUGCAAGUUUGUAUCUAACUGGAUCAGCUGUAUACCUUCAGCUAUCACAACAACAACAAGAAAAAUAACCCAAAAAGUUUAAACUAUAAAGAAAUCCCAGGGGGAAAUCUCUCCAGGAUUGGUCAAUUUAGUACCUCAACAAAGUCAUUGAGUUCUUUAUUAAAUGAAUAUUUACUGAGUGCUUAUUUGUGCUUGACCUUGACUUUGGCACACCAAAUAGAUACCAAGAAAAAAGAAACAAAAGCAUCUGUGUUCGGGAAGUUUUGCCUCAUGGCAACAAAGUGGCUGCUUCAGUUCCAGUUAUCAGAUAG
rnacentral:lncRNA from 1 species